rnacentral:rRNA from 1 species
GCGUAUACUAACGUUGUUGCAGUUAAAAGGCUCGUAGUCGAACUUAUGAUCCUGUGAACCUGGCCCAACUUCGAGUAAGUUGCGCGCCGGUGUGCACGGAUCAUUCUUCUGAAGAGCUGCUCCGCCCUUGAUUGGGUCGUGUGCACGCAAUUCAGAUCAUUUACUGUGAGUAAAUCAAAGUGCUCAAAGCAGGCUUCAAUGCUUGUAUGGUUCAGCAUGGAAUAAUAAGAUAAGACUUCGGUUUUGUUUUGUUGGCUCUACGAACCAAAGUAAUGAUUGAAAGGGAUAGUUGGGGGUGCUAGUAUUCAGUGGUCAGCGGUGAAAUGCGGAGACCCAUUGAAGACUAACUUAUGCGAAAGCAUUCACCAAGGAUGUCUUCUUUAAUCAAGAACGAAAGUUGGGGGAUCGAAGACGAUCAGAUACCGU